CCUACGGGGGGCUGCAGUGAGGAAUAUUGGUCAAUGGCCGCAGGGCUGAACCAGCCAAGUCGCGUGAGGGAUGACGGCCCUAUGGAUUGUAAACCUCUUUUGUCCGGGAGCAAAGGGCGCUACGCGUGGCUGUCUGCGAGUAUCUUACGAAAAAGGAUCGGCUAACUCCGUGCCAGCAGCCGCGGUAAUACGGAGGAUGCGAGCGUUAUCCGGAUUUAUUGGGUUUAAAGGGUGCGCAGGCGGAGUGUAAAGUUAGCGGUAAAAUUCCGGGGCUCAACUCCGGAGUGCCGUUGAUACUGGCGUGCUAGAGAGUACGUGAGGUAUGCGGAAUGCAUGGUGUAGCGGUGAAAUGCAUAGAGAUCACACAGAACACCGAUUGCGAAGGCAGCAUACC
rnacentral:rRNA from 1 species